UAAAGAACCUGCCCUGGGAUGGGGGAUAGCCCCGGGAAACUGGGGGUAAUACCGCAUAAGCAGCGUCAAGCGCAUGCCUGAUGCUGGAAAGGGAAGUUUACUUCUCGUCCGAGGAGGGCUUUGCGGCCUAUCAGGUAGUUGGUGAGGUUAAAGCUCACCAAGCCUAAGACGGGUAGCUGGUCUGAGAGGAUGGUCAGCCACACUGGGACUGAGACACGGCCCAG
rnacentral:rRNA from 1 species